rnacentral:tRNA from 1 species
UCUAGUGCAAUGGAUAUCACGUUGAACUUCUAAUCCAAAGGUCGUGGGUUAGAAUCCCACCUAAA